GAUGAACGCUGGCGGCGUGCUUAACACAUGCAAGUCGAACGGGAAUUAUUUUAUUGAAACUUCGGUCGAUUUAAUUUAAUUCUAGUGGCGGACGGGUGAGUAACGCGUGGGUAACCUGCCUUAUACAGGGGGAUAACAGUCAGAAAUGGCUGCUAAUACCGCAUAAGCGCACAGAGCUGCAUGGCUCAGCGGGAAAAACUCCGGUGGUAGAGGAUGGACCCGCGUUUGAUUAGCUGGUUGGUGGGGUAACGGCCCACCAAGGCGACGAUCCAUAGCCGGGCUGAGAGGGUGAACGGCCACAUUGGGACUGAGACACGGCCCAGACUCCUACGGGAGGCAGCAGUGGGGAAUAUUGCACAAUGGGGGAAACCCUGAUGCAGCGACGCCGCGUGAAGGAAGAAGUAUCUCGGUAUGUAAACUUCUAUCAGCAGGGAAGAUAGUGACGGUACCUGACUAAGAAGCCCCGGCUAACUACGUG
rnacentral:rRNA from 1 species